AACCACAAAUAGAGACAAAUGUAAGUAAAGAGAGAAAAUAAAAUUAAU
rnacentral:guide_RNA from 1 species